GGAUCAAGUAUGACAAGGGCAUCUGGUGGAUGCCUUGGCGUCGAGAGGCGAUGAAGGACGUGGCACCCUGCGAUAAGUCCUGGGGAGGCGGGAGCAGCCUUUGAUCCGGGAAUUUCCGAAUGGGGAAACCCACCCCUUUGGGGUAUCCCAACCUGAAUUCAUAGGGUUGGGAGGCGAACGCGGUGAACUGAAACAUCUCAGUAGCCGCAGGAAAGGACAUCAACCGAGACUCCGCAAGUAGUGGCGAGCGAACGCGGAUCAGCCCAGUGGCACCAUUCAUCUAACGAGAACGGUCUGGAAAGUCCGGCCAGAGCGGGUGACAGCCCCGUAUCGGUGUUGAUGGAUGGUGUCCUCGAGUAGGGCGGGGCACGUGAAACCCUGUCUGAACGUGGGGGGACCACCCUCCAAGGCUAAGUACUCCUCGACGACCGAUAGUGCACCAGUACCGUGAGGGAAAGGUGAAAAGCACCCCGAUGAGGGGAGUGAAAGAGACCCUGAAACCGGAUGCCUACAAGCUGUAGGAGCCCCGCCUCCAAAUCACUGAAGUUGGCGAACCACCUCAGUGAUUUGGUGGCGGGGUGACUGCGUACCUUUUGUAUAAUGGGUCAGCGAGUUAAUCUGUCGAGCAAGCUUAAGCCGGUAGGCGUAGGCGCAGCGAAAGCGAGUCUGAACAGGGCGCUUGAGUUCGGCGGAUUAGACCCGAAACCGGGUGAUCUAGCCAUGGGCAGGUUGAAGGUGGAGUAACACCCACUGGAGGACCGAACCCACGUCUGUUGAAAAAGACGGGGAUGACCUGUGGCUAGGGGUGAAAGGCCAAUCAAACUCGGAAAUAGCUGGUUCUCCGCGAAAUCUAUUUAGGUAGAGCGUCGUGUCUUACCUUCGGGGGUAGAGCACUGGAUGGGCUAGGGGGCCGCGAGGCUUACCAAACCUAACCAAACUCCGAAUACCGAAGAGUACAAUCACGGCGGACAGACUUGGGGUGCUAAGGUCCUAGGUCGAGAGGGAAACAGCCCAGACCGCCAGCUAAGGUCCCGAAGUCAUGGCUAAGUGGGAAAGGAUGUGGGACGGCCAAAACAACCAGGAGGUUGGCUUAGAAGCAGCCAUCCUUUAAAGAAAGCGUAACAGCUCACUGGUCUAAUAGCUGUCCUGCGCCGAAGAUGUACCGGGGCUCAAGCCAUGCACCGAAGCUGCGGGCUCGAAAGAGCGGUAGCGGAGCGUUCCGUAGGCCGAUGAAGGUGUGUCGUGAGGCAUGCUGGAGGUAUCGGAAGUGAGAAUGCUGACAUGAGUAGCGCUAGGAGAGUGAGAACCUCUCCCGCCGAAAGUCCAAGGGUUCCCGCGCAAGGCCAAUCCGCGCGGGGUGAGCCGGCCCCUAAGCCGAGGGCGACAGCCGUAGGCGAUGGGAACCAGGUGAAUAGUCCUGGGCCCGCGAGAGGUGACGUCCCCCGUAAGUUGUUCAUCCUUAACGGAUUGGAUGGGCAGCGAAGGGGGGCCAGGAAACAACCCUCGCAGAUGGACCGUACCCGAAACCGACACAGGUGGACUGGUAGAGCAUACCAAGGCGUUUGAGAGAAUGGUGUUGAAGGAACUCGGCAAAAUGCCCCCGUAACUUCGGGAGAAGGGGGCCCUCGCAUCGGGCAACCGGUGCGGGGGGGCACAGACCAGGGGGUGGCGACUGUUUACUAAAAACACAGGGCUCUGCGAAGUCGCAAGACGACGUAUAGGGUCUGACGCCUGCCCGGUGCCGGAAGGUUAAGAGGAGAGGUGAGAGCCUUGAAUCGAAGCCCCGGUAAACGGCGGCCGUAACUAUAACGGUCCUAAGGUAGCGAAAUUCCUUGUCGGGUAAGUUCCGACCUGCACGAAUGGCGUAACGACUUCCCCGCUGUCUCCAACACCAACUCAGCGAAAUUGAAUUCUCCGUGAAGAUGCGGAGUUCCCGUGGUCAGACGGAAAGACCCCGUGAACCUUUACUACAACUUCGCAGUGGCAUUAGGGAUGGGAUGUGUAGGAUAGGUGGGAGGCUUUGAAGCAUCGGCGCCAGCUGGUGUGGAGCCACCCUUGAAAUACCACCCUUCUUGUUCCUGAUGUCUAACCGCGGCCCGUGAUCCGGGUCCGGGACCCUGCGUGGUGGGUAGUUUGACUGGGGCGGUCGCCUCCCAAAGAGUAACGGAGGCGCGCGAUGGUGGGCUCAGGCCGGUCGGAAAUCGGCUGAUGAGUGCAAUGGCAAAAGCCCGCCUGACUGUGAGGCCGACAGGCCGAACAGAGACGAAAGUCGGUCAUAGUGAUCCGGUGGUCCCGAGUGGAAGGGCCAUCGCUCAACGGAUAAAAGGUACUCCGGGGAUAACAGGCUGAUACUGCCCAAGAGUCCACAUCGACGGCAGUGUUUGGCACCUCGAUGUCGGCUCAUCACAUCCUGGGGCUGGAGCAGGUCCCAAGGGUUCGGCUGUUCGCCGAUUAAAGUGGUACGUGAGCUGGGUUUAGAACGUCGUGAGACAGUUCGGUCCCUAUCUGCCAUGGGUGUAGGAUACUUGAGAGGAGUUGCCCCUAGUACGAGAGGACCGGGGUGAACGGACCUCUGGUGUACCAGUUGUCACGCCAGUGGCACCGCUGGGUAGCCAAGUCCGGACGGGAUAACCGCUGAAAGCAUCUAAGCGGGAAGCCCCCCUCAAAACCAGGUAUCCCCAUCAGAGCCGUGGAAGACCACCACGUCGAUAGGCCGGGUGUGGAAGCGUGGCAACACGUGAAGCUAACCGGUACUAAUCGCUCGAUUGGCUUGAUCCU
rnacentral:rRNA from 1 species